UGGGGUGUGGCUUAGUGGUAGAGCACUCACCUAACAUGUGCAAGGCCUUGGAUUCAAUCCUCAGCACUACAU
rnacentral:tRNA from 1 species